rnacentral:tRNA from 8 species
GGGUGAUUAGCUCAGCUGGGAGAGCACCUCCCUUACAAGGAGGGGGUCGCAGGUUCGAAUCCUGCACGACCCACCA